AAGGUUCAAGCUACCGAUGGAGCGACUUCCCCACAGCAGCCCUGCUGCCUUCCUGUCAGUGCUGUCUUGCCGAGUGAGACCAGGCUGAGGAAGGUCACAGACAGCUGAAUCUGGACCAGCGACACUUCCCAGGCUCCUUCCUGCUGGGCCCAGGCCCCGACUACCCUGCCCUCUCUCACCACUUCCGCCAUGCUGCAGAGCCACCACAAGCUAAACUGCCAACUGUGGGCGUCCUCAAGGAAAGCAACGGUACAUAGAAGUACUUCCAACUUAGAGGGCAGAAUUUCUGCACCCUCAGAAGAAACUUCCUAGAAAACAAUACGCCUUUUAUCUUCAAGAACACAGCAAAAAUCACAUCGAAGAAUUUGCAGAACUCAAAUCCGGGAAAAUCCUGUUGGAGGAAGUGUCAGAAAAAGCAACAGGGACAACCUUGAGGUCCAAGCCGUCCCUCAGAACAGACUAGUUACAGUCCAGCGCCUUCAAGGAUGCUCUGAGCCUGCUUCCACCUGCACACCCAGACAUUUCUCCCUUGCUCCCUCGGAACAGAACCACCUCAGCAGCCACGGGGGACAAUGGGAAAAGGAUAGGGCAGAGGCCCAGCUGGGCCAAGACUGGUGCCAUGCUCACCAUGACAUGACCUUCAUGUGUGUCCGUCUCAGGGCUGCAGUGCUGCAACUCACAGCCAAGUAUCUGGAUGCCCCCUCCUGCCCAGGGAUGCACACACAGGGAACCCUGUCCGUCACACAGAAACACAGAUGCCCGGCAGGUUCCGUAUUGCCAGCACCCCUUGGUCCUUUCCCUGACAGGCUUCAAGUGGGGAGAACAAAGAAUGAGAAAGGAGCACCUGCCUCCCAGGCUCACUUGUCUCCUCAAAAGGCCCUUCUUUCCCCAGUUUGACCUUUACAAAACUACACAUUUCUACACACUGUAGGAUUCAAGUGAGAUUUUUUUUUUUAAUCUGAAAAGUGAGAAGAACUCGUUCGUUCGUUUGGAGACUAUGGGUUAAAAUGCAGAGCGCACCAUGUUCUCCUUGGAGAACACUGGCACCCAAGCGUUUUUGCUCUUCACCACAGGAAGCUCUGGGUUCUGGCUGGAUUAGCUGCUCUCAAGACUGGGGCCUCCAAAUGUUCUCGAGAGUCAAGGUAGGAUGACACCGGGUUCUCUUCUGUGUGCCAUUCAAACUACACUGUGUCUUCAACAUCUCAUCACCUCCAAGGAGAAAACCCUGGGGGGGAGAGACAAAGUGCCCUCUGCACACUUGGCCAUAAGAGUUUCCCAAGUUCCUCUC
ensembl:processed_transcript 4931413K12Rik RIKEN cDNA 4931413K12 gene